GAACGCUGGCGGCGUGCUUAACACAUGCAAGUCGAACGAAGCACUUUAUUUGAUUUCCUUCGGGACUGAUUAUUUUGUGACUGAGUGGCGGACGGGUGAGUAACGCGUGGGUAACCUGCCUUGUACAGGGGGGAUAACAGUUGGAAACGGCUGCUAAUACCGCAUAAGUGCACAGCAUCGCAUGAUGCAGUGUGAAAAAACUCCGGUGGUAUGAGAUGGACCCGCGUCUGAUUAGCUGGUUGGUGAGGUAACGGCCCACCAAGGCGACGAUCAGUAGCCGGCCUGAGAGGGUGAACGGCCACAUUGGGACUGAGACACGGCCCAAACUCCUACGGGAGGCAGCAGUGGGGAAUAUUGCACAAUGGGGGAAACCCUGAUGCAGCAACGCCGCGUGAGUGAAGAAGUAUUUCGGUAUGUAAAGCUCUAUCAGCAGGAAAGAAAAUGACGGUACCUGACUAAGAAGCCCCGGCUAACUACGUG
rnacentral:rRNA from 1 species